AGACAACAGGACAAGACAAACAGAAAGAGAGAAAAAGAAAAAUGAAAGAGGCUGAAAUUUGGGCAGACAGUAAAGGCCAAAAAAAAAAAAGGAGCUUAAUCAUCAACAAGAAAAAAUGGAGGCUUGAAGGUCAAAGCUAGAACCUUUAUAUAAUUCCUCCCACAAAGUUGGAAAGUGAUUUAUCCAGUAGCAAGACUAUGAGAAAAGGGGAAAUCCUGGCCUCUGCAGAGCACAAGACAGAGAAGAAAUACAAGUAAAGGGAUGAACGGCUGCCAGACACAGAAAUAUUGUUGCCUUUAAUAUGGUGUCUUUCACCAUUUUUUCUAGUCCACUCACACUCCAUCCAUCUGUUCCUUCAAAAUAAAUGGCAAGAAGGUAACACCAGUCAUUCUGCAAACACAGCCCUUAAAGGAAGAAGACUUUUGCCAAUAUACUUACA